CUAGCAACUCCUCCUCCUCCCCCCCUCCUCUUCCUGUCUUGACCGGAAAACCCGCCUCCUCAUUUUAGCCCAGCAGUUGGCUAUUUGUCAUCUUUCUUAGCCAAUCAGAUAAUUAAGGGAAGUUCCUCUACUGAUGGGUAUUACAAAGGCUCCACAAAAAUGAGGGAAACUUUCUACCCCUGAGCCACCUCUGUAAGCCUAAUCUAUUUUGGGAAGGGUUAAGAUUAUUUAGGAAGGUCCAGUAGACUCUUUUCUGUGGUAAGAGAAAACCAGAAGCUACUGCGGGCUCGCUCAGCAAAGCUGGUUUGAGUCUCAGUUUCUGGACAGUCACCUCCACUCGAGGCUUCAUAAAGUUGAAUGCAGAGUCUCACAGAUUGGCAGCAGCUCUGCUUCAUUUGAUGAACGUGGAAUAUGGCCUCUCUGCUGCUGUUUUUGACCAUGUGAUGGAUGACCUCAAAUUAAGCAUGCACAGGAGUUAACAACGCUCCCCAAGCAUGGAGCAGUCUUUCCUAUCAGAGUAGAGCCAAGGCAUGGAUGCACUCACAGAUCUGCUUACUUGUGCCUCACAACUUCAUCACGGACAGUUUCACAGUCUUUUCCAUCCACACCAGUCUAGUAGUAGAACUUUCCAAGCAAGUAGAAAUACUCUGGGAAGCCGUGCUGUAGACCUGUGAGACCAUCUUUGCAGCUUCUAGCUCUCUUCUUAAUAUCUGCAACAAAGUCAAUAAAUACUGGCUCCUUUCCAGCCAACGUUUCUUACAGCAUUCAACUCAUUUCUCUUGCCCAUAUGUACUACUGUGAGGCAUAGCACCCAGUUCAGUUCAGUAUACCUUAUAUCAGCAG
rnacentral:lncRNA from 1 species